UACGUAGGGUGCAAGCGUUGUCCGGAAUUAUUGGGCGUAAAGAGCUCGUAGGCGGUUUGUCGCGUCUGCUGUGAAAACCCGAGGCUCAACCUCGGGCCUGCAGUGGGUACGGGCAGACUAGAGUGCGGUAGGGGAGACUGGAAUUCCUGGUGUAGCGGUGAAAUGCGCAGAUAUCAGGAGGAACACCGGUGGCGAAGGCGGGUCUCUGGGCCAAAACUGACGCUGAGGAGCGAAAGCGUGGGGAGCGAACAGG
rnacentral:rRNA from 1 species